CACAGCCAAAACGCGGAAGCAACGUGGAUUUUACGUGCCUACGUUUAUGUCAAACACAUCGUGAUUGGCUCAUGAAGGAGCAGAUACGUGAAACACGCUGCACAUAGCCAUAUGGAGAAAGUAGGUGAGUGUUGAUCAUUUGUUUGGUACCUAUUCCCCCAAGAGGGGUGCCAGUGUCCUGAUGCUGACCAGUGCCACCGGUUCCGCCACUUGGUUCCUGCUGGAGCCUUAGCACCAACUGGAUGAGGGGACUCCUCUCUGUGUUGAAUUCCCGGCUGUCUAAGGCUUUGAAGUGGAGAGUGGUGUCAAACUACAAGACCGCCAGCAUGUAAACAAGGCCUUGUUUGUCCUUGUUUGGCUACUCACCACUCUUCUAAUUCCUGAAGAGGCUGAAGCAUGCUGGCCUUGACACCUCAGUCCUUGCUUCCAUUAACAGCUGUGUCAUGGUCUACUGCAACGGGUGGAUAAGGAGGGCAAAUGACAGGCAGUGUGCUGUGAGGACUGCUGCCCUGAUUCAUACGGAAGAACCAAGCCCGCAAGCCCAUGGCAUCUUGAGGCCUUUUGGACAGAGGAGAGGACGACCGAGCUGGUUAACCUCUACACAAAUAGAUGCACGUCAAGUGAUGCUUUGGGGUGUGAGACCGCCGGUAUACCCACCUACAGUAUAUUGAUCCUGACAUCAGUGCCAAAUAUUUCUUGAUAAUAAUAAUAAUAAUAAUACCUCAGUUUUUUAUAGCGCUUUUCUGGGUACCCAAAGACGCUUGAUGGCAAUUGGUCGAAAAAAGCACGGGUGUAUCAUGGCCCAAAUAUGCUGAGGAAUGCAGGCUGCCUUGGUGGGCUUAGGAGUUGCCUUUCACUUCAGUCAGUGACGGAAAAGGUCCAGGACGUAAGGCUUUUACAGCUGAAAAGCUGAGACAGCUUGUGCAGUCCUACAAUGCACAUGUCAAUGAUCAGCUGUUUGUUGAGGCAGCGGCAGCAGAUGCAGCACCAACACCACCAGCAGCAGCAGCAGUGGCAGGAGCAGCACCACCAGCACCACCAGCACUAUAAAUGCCAGCAGCGGCAGAUUAUAAAGAAGGAUAACAAUUAAUACAUGAAAUUAGAGUGGGAAGUUGUGCUUUUAUGUUUCAUGUUUAUGGUUUUAUAUAUAUAUGCACCUUACUUGAGCGUCACUACAAAUUCAUUAUACUGCAAUGCAAUUACAAUAAAGGCAUUAAUUUGUCAUUUCAGUUUGUAUUACUACAUUCAUUUAGCCUGGGUGCCAGCC